GUUAUAGAUUGAAUAGCAGUCAGUGUCCUUAAAGCGGGUGUGUUACGCUAACAGUGCAUACGGUGACAAGUGCCACUAAUUAGAUCCUGUGUCACAAUAGCUUGGAUUUAAAAACAAAAAACUUUUUUCACUGUUAUAGAUUGAAUAGCAGUCAGUGUCCUUAAAGCAGGUGUGUUACGCUAACAGUGGAUACGCUGACAUUUGCCACUAAUUAGAUCCUGUGUCACAAUAGUUUGGAUUUAAAAAAAAAAUAAUCUUUUUUCACUGUUAUAGAUUGAAUAGCAGUCAGUGUCCUUAAAGCGGGUGUGUUACGCUAACAGUGGAUACGCUGACCAGUGCCACUAAUUAGAUCUGGUGUCACAAUAGCUUGGAUUUAAAAAAUAAUAAUCUUUUUUCACUGUUAUAGAUUGAAUAGCAGUCAGUGUCCUUAAAGCAGGUGUGUUACGCUAACAGUGGAUACGCUGACAAGUGCCACUAAUUAGAUCUGGUGUCACAAUAGUUUGGAUUUAAAAACAAAAAACUUUUUUUACUGUAUUAGAUUGAAUAGCAGUCGGUAUCCUUAAAGCGGGUGUGUUACGCUAACAGUGGAUACGCUGACAAGUGCCACUAAUUAGAUCUGGUGUCACAAUAGUUUGGAUUUAAAAAACAAAAAACUUUUUUUCACUGUUAUAGAUUGAAUAGCAGUCAGUGUCCUUAAAGCGGGUGUGUUACGCUAACAGUGGAUACGCUGACAAGUGCCACUAAUUAGAUCCUGUGUCACAAUAGUUUGGAUUUAAAAAAAAUAAUAAUCUUUUUCACUGUUAUAGAUUGAAUAGCAGUCAGUGUCCUUAAAGCGGGUGUGUUACGCUAACAGUGGAUACGCUGACCAGUGCCACUAAUUAGAUCUGGUGUCACAAUAGCUUGGAUUUAAAAAAAAAUAAUCUUUUUUCACUGGUAUAGAUUGAAUAGCAGUCAGUGUCCUUAAAGCGGGUGUGUUACGCAAACAGUGGAUACGCUGACCAGUGCCACCAAUUAGAUCUGGUGACACAAAGCUUGGAUUUAAAAAAAC